CCUACGGGAGGCAGCAGUCGAGAAUCAUUCACAAUGGGGGAAACCCUGAUCGUGCGACGCCGCGUGGGGGAAUGAAGGUCUUCGGAUUGUAAACCCCUGUCAUGUGGGAGCAAAUUAAAAAGAUAGUACCACAAGAGGAAUAGACGGCUAACCCUGUGCCACGAGCCGCGGUAAUACAGAGGUCUCAAGCGUUGUUCGGAAUCACUGGGCGUAAAGCGUGCGUAGGCUGUUUCGUAAGUCGUGUGUGAAAGGCGCGGGCUCAACCCCCGGACGGCACAUGAUACUGGGAGACUAGAGUAGUGGAGGGGGAAGCGGAAUGCUCGGUGUAGCGGUGAAAUGCGUAGAUAUCG
rnacentral:rRNA from 1 species